UGGGGAAUUUUGGACAAUGGGCGAAAGCCUGAUCCAGCAAUGCCGCGUGUGUGAAGAAGGCCUUCGGGUUGUAAAGCACUUUUGUCCGGAAAGAAAUCCUUGGCUCUAAUACAGUCGGGGGAUGACGGUACCGGAAGAAUAAGCACCGGCUAACUACGUGCCAGCAGCCGCGGUAAUACGUAGGGUGCAAGCGUUAAUCGGAAUUACUGGGCGUAAAGCGUGCGCAGGCGGUUUGCUAAGACCGAUGUGAAAUCCCCGGGCUCAACCUGGGAACUGCAUUGGUGACUGGCAGGCUAGAGUAUGGCAGAGGGGGGUAGAAUUCCACGUGUAGCAGUGAAAUGCGUAGAGAUGUGGAGGAAUACCGAUGGCGAAGGCAGCCCCCUGGGCCAAUACUGACGCUCAUGCACGAAAGCGUGGGGAGCAAACAGGAUUAGAUACCCUGGUAGUCCCACGCCCUAAACGAUGUCACUAGUUGUUGGGGAUUCAUUUCCUUAGUAACGUAGCUAACGCGUGAAGUUGACCGCCUGGGGAGUACGGUCGCAAGAUUAAAACUCAAAUGAAUUGACGGGGUCAUAGCUGUUUCCU
rnacentral:rRNA from 1 species